rnacentral:rRNA from 3 species
UGACCUCGGAUCAGGUGGGGAUACCCGCUGAACUUAAGCAUAUCAAUAAGCGGAGGA